GUAACGGGGUGUUAGGGCACGACACCGGAGAGGGAGCCUGAGAAACGGCUACCACAUCCAAGGAUGGCAGCAGGCGCGCAAAUUACCCAAUCCCGACACGGGGAGGUAGUGACAAUAAAUAACAAUACGGGAUUCUAUAGGAUUUCGUAAUUGGAAUGAGUACAAUUUAAAUCUCUUAACGAUCAACAAUUGGAGGGCAAGUCUGGUGCCAGCAGCCGCGGUAAUUCCAGCUCCAAUAGCGUAUAUUAAAGUUGUUGCAGUUAAAAAGCUCGUAGUUGAAUUUCGGGGUUAGUAGGUUGGUCAUGCCUCUGGUAUGUACUGAUCUCACUGAUUCCUCCCUCUUGACGAACUGUAAUGUCAUUAAUUUGGUGUUGCAGGAAAUCAGGACUGUUACUUUGAAAAAAUUAGAGUGUUUAAAGCAGGCUUAGGCUUGAAUACAUUAGCAUGGAAUAAUGAAAUAGGACGUUUGAUCCUAUUUUGUUGGCUUCUAGGAUUGACGUAAUGAUUAAUAGGGAUAGUUGGGGGCAUUAGUAUUCAAUUGUCAGAGGUGAAAUUCUUGGAUUUAUUGAAGACUAACUACUGCGAAAGCAUUUGCCAAGGAUGUUUUCAUUAAUCAAGAACGAAAGUUAGGGGAUCGAAGACGAUCAGAUACC
rnacentral:rRNA from 1 species